GCCUGGCUGGCUCAAUUGGUAGAGCAUGUGACUCUUGAACUCUCAGGGUUGUGAGUUCAAAUCCCAAACUGGGCA
rnacentral:tRNA from 1 species